GACCCUCCCUCCCAGACCCUCCCACCUCCUGGACAGAGCUUCAACAUGGAUGCUGUCCAGGAAGUAGGAGGGUCUGGGAGGGAGGGUC